CCAGCAGCUCUGCAGCCCCCUCCGCUUUUUCUUUGUCUCAGAGGCUAUGUGAUAAAAACCACCUCGUCAAGGUUACAUAGCUCACUGGUGACAGAGUCAGAGAAAUAAAUCAGUUUUUUGCAAUUGCUGGCCAUGCUUGCCUCAAGUUCUCCUGCAGAGUAGCUGUAACAGCCCCUGGAGGUGGAGAAAAGCCCACAGGGAAAGGCCAGCAGUAGUUCAGCUGAUAAUACAGCAGAGGAGCAGCAAAACACAGCUUGAGCUAAGGAAACAAACUUCUCAUUGAGUAGACUCAUAUUCCAGAUACAUCAAGCACAUGUCCAACAAAUUAGUUUUACGUUGAUUUUCCUUCCUGUUCCACUGGGAUGGUGCAGAAGAAAUAGGGGAACUUGAGGAGUGGCUGCAUGGUGUUUAUUUUCCAGCUGGGCUAAAAACAACAGCAAUACUUAAGCUGCUCAUGAAUUGUGCAUACGCCCUAGAUAAAAAGCUGUGUGAAACUCCAGAAAGCAUGAAAGAGCAAUUCCCAUCAGACAGAUGACUAGCAUGACCUAGUAACCUGCUUUCUUCACUCGAAGUUAGAACU